rnacentral:rRNA from 1 species
UACGUAGGGACCGAGCGUUGUCCGGAAUCAUUGGGCGUAAAGAGCGUGUAGGCGGCUAUUUAAGUCCUGCGUGAAAUCCUGCGGCUCAACCGCAGACGGUCGUGGGAAACUGGAUGGCUAGAGUGCGGGAGAGGAGAGUGGAAUUCCCGGUGUAGCGGUGAAAUGCGCAGAUAUCGGGAAGAACACCCGUGGCGAAGGCGGCUCUCUGGACAGUUCCUGACGCUGAGGCACGAAGGCCAGGGGAGCAAACAGG